rnacentral:rRNA from 1 species
GAUGAACGCUAGCGGCAGGCUUAACACAUGCAAGUCGAGGGGCAGCACGUCUUCGGAUGGUGGCGACCGGCGCACGGGUGCGUAACGCGUAUAGAACCUACCUUUUACAGGGGAAUAGCCCAGAGAAAUUUGGAUUAAUGCCCCAUAGUAUUAUUAGAUGGCAUCAUUUGAUAAUUAAACAUUUAUGGGUAAAAGAUGGCUAUGCGUUCUAUUAGCUAGAUGGUAAGGUAACGGCUUACCAUGGCGACGAUAGAUAGGGGUCCUGAGAGGGAGAUCCUCCACACUGGUACUGAGACACGGACCAGACUCCUACGGGAGGCAGCAGUGAGGAAUAUUGGACAAUGGGCGAGAGCCUGAUCCAGCCAUGCCGCGUGCAGGAAGACGGUCCUAUGGAUUGUAAACUGCUUUUAUACAGGAGAAACACUCCCUCGUGAGGGAAUUUGACGGUACUGUAUGAAUAAGCACCGGCUAACUCCGUGCCAGCA